UUAAAGUCCGUAGAGGUGAAUUCGUUGUUUCAAACGCCUAUCUUUCAAAUUUUGGCGUAAUCACCUAAAUUCAAGAAAAAUAGCCACAUAUACCCAUAUUUCCUACCUCGAACCAAAGAGCCUAACAAUUGAAAGCCACAAAGCCCCAAUGAUCCCAAUAGCUUAAUGUUCGAUAUUAGUAGAGUAGAAUAAUUUGGUAAGUAUUUGGAGUCAAGCAUAUGCAUGUAAGUAUAAAUUCUUUCUAUCUUUAAUUUGCAAAUAGUGGAUGCUUGAAGCAAUUGUAUGAAUUGUGGUUUUUGGUAAUGGUGAGUGACUAAGUGUUGUUGAAUUUUGAGCUUGCGAAUGCCUAAGAAUUGUCAUUAUAAUUACAAGUUCUGAAAACGUGAAGUUGAUCAUUGAUCUAUGUGAUGAGAUGUUAUCGUUGAGUUAUUUGUUUAUUGGUAGAUUUUGCUUGAGG
rnacentral:lncRNA from 1 species